CGGACGGGUGAGUAACACGUGGAUAACCUACCUAUAAGACUGGGAUAACUUCGGGAAACCGGAGCUAAUACCGGAUAAUAUAUUGAACCGCAUGGUUCAAUAGUGAAAGACGGUUUUGCUGUCACUUAUAGAUGGAUCCGCGCCGCAUUAGCUAGUUGGCAAGGUAACGGCUUACCAAGGCAACGAUGCGUAGCCGACCUGAGAGGGUGAUCGGCCACACUGGAACUGAGACACGGUCCAGACUCCUACGGGAGGCAGCAGUG
rnacentral:rRNA from 1 species